rnacentral:rRNA from 1 species
GACGAAGGAUGCAAGCGUUAUCCGGAUUCAUUGGGUUUAAAGGGUGCGUAGGCGGCCUGAUAAGUCAGUGGUGAAAUCUCUCAGCUUAACUGAGAAACUGCCAUUGAUACUGUUAGUCUAGAGUAUAGAUGACGUUGGCGGAAUAUGACAUGUAGUGGUGAAAUACUUAGAUAUGUCAUAGAACACCGAUUGCGAAGGCAGCGAACGAAACUAUAACUGACGCUGAGGCACGAAAGUGCGGGGAUCAAACAGG